rnacentral:lncRNA from 1 species
UGACAUUAAAAUUUUAAAUCAAAGAUAUUGAUCUUGUUUUAUAUAGUAUAAAGAAUUUUCUAUCAAAAUUUCAUGUGAUUUGGAUAUUUCUACACCGUUAAACUUGCAAACGGCUCACUACGGCCAUUGAAAUUUGUUGAUUUUGAGCCCAUUCAAUUACUAGGCAAAUGAUAUCGAAAAAUAAUAAAAUUUAUUUUCUAGGUACUCCAAAUACUCUAGAUCAAGUUUAACGGAGCCGAUCGACGAUUCGAAAGUUGCAACAUCGAAAACGAGCUGGAAGCAAGAAAGGCUCCGUACUUCCAAUAGCAUAGUAGUCU